GACGAACGCUGGCGGCGUGCUUAACACAUGCAAGUCGAACGGAAAGGCCCUGCUUUUGUGGGGUGCUCGAGUGGCGAACGGGUGAGUAACACGUGAGUAACCUGCCCUUGACUUUGGGAUAACUUCAGGAAACUGGGGCUAAUACCGGAUAGGAGCUCCUGCUGCAUGGUGGGGGUUGGAAAGUUUCGGCGGUUGGGGAUGGACUCGCGGCUUAUCAGCUUGUUGGUGGGGUAGUGGCUUACCAAGGCUUUGACGGGUAGCUGGCCUGAGAGGGUGACCGGCCACAUUGGGACUGAGAUACGGCCCAGACUCCUACGGGAGGCAGCAGUGGGGAAUAUUGCACAAUGGGCGGAAGCCUGAUGCAGCAACGCCGCGUGCGGGAUGACGGCCUUCGGGUUGUAAACCGCUUUCGCCUGUGACGAAGCGUGAGUGACGGUAAUGGGUAAAGAAGCACCGGCUAACUACGUGCCAGCAGCCGCGGUGAUACGUAGGGUGCGAGCGUUGUCCGGAUUUAUUGGGCGUACAGGGCUCGUAGGUGGUUGAUCGCGUCGGAAGUGUAAUCUUGGGGCUUAACCCUGAGCGUGCUUUCGAUACGGGUUGACUUGAGGAAGGUAGGGGAGAAUGGAAUUCCUGGUGGAGCGGUGGAAUGCGCAGAUAUCAGGAGGAACACCAGUGGCGAAGGCGGUUCUCUGGGCCUUUCCUGACGCUGAGGAGCGAAAGCGUGGGGAGCGAACAGGCUUAGAUACCCUGGUAGUCCACGCUGUAAACGGUGGGUACUAGGUGUGGGGUCCAUUCCACGGGUUCCGUGCCGUAGCUAACGCUUUAAGUACCCCGCCUGGGGAGUACGGCCGCAAGGCUAAAACUCAAAGGAAUUGACGGGGCCCCGCACAAGCGGCGGAGCAUGCAGAUUAAUUCGAUGCAACGCGUAGAACCUUACCUGGGUUUGACAUGGAUCGGGAGUGCUCAGAGAUGGGUGUGCCUCUUUUGGGGUCGGUUCACAGGUGGUGCAUGGCUGUCGUCAGCUCGUGUCGUGAGAUGUUGGGUUAAGUCCCGCAACGAGCGCAACCCUUGUUCACUGUUGCCAGCACGUUAUGGUGGGGACUCAGUGGAGACCGCCGGGGUCAACUCGGAGGAAGGUGGGGAUGACGUCAAGUCAUCAUGCCCCUUAUGUCCAGGGCUUCACGCAUGCUACAAUGGCUGGUACAGAGAGUGGCGAGCCUGUGAGGGUGAGCGAAUCUCGGAAAGCCGGUCUCAGUUCGGAUUGGGGUCUGCAACUCGACCUCGUGAAGUCGGAGUCGCUAGUAAUCGCAGAUCAGCAACGCUGCGGUGAAAACGUUCCCGGG
rnacentral:rRNA from 1 species